rnacentral:rRNA from 1 species
UGGGGAAUAUUGCACAAUGGGCGAAAGCCUGAUGCAGCGACGCCGCGUGAGGGAUGACGGCCUUCGGGUUGUAAACCUCUUUCAGCAGGGACGAAGCGCAAGUGACGGUACCUGCAGAAGAAGCACCGGCUAACUACGUGCCAGCAGCCGCGGUAAUACGUAGGGUGCAAGCGUUGUCCGGAAUUACUGGGCGUAAAGAGUUCGUAGGCGGUUUGUCGCGUCGUUUGUGAAAACCAGCAGCUCAACUGCUGGCUUGCAGGCGAUACGGGCAGACUUGAGUACUGCAGGGGGGAGUGGAAUUCCUGGUGUAGCGGUGAAAUGCGCAGAUCUCAGGAGGAACACCGGUGGCGAAGGCGGGUCUCUGGGCAGUAACUGACGCUGAGGAACGAAAGCGUGGGUAGCGAACAGG